AACGCACCUUGCGCUCUAUGGCAAUCCGUAGAGCAUGCCUGUUUGAGUGCCAUGAAAUCUCCCACCCCAAGCGGUUUUUACAUGAAACGGCUUGGCGGAUGGGGUCUGGAUGGGUGCCUCUGCCUGCGCUACCUAGCACAGGCUCGCCCGAAAUGCAUGAGCGCCUUGAGACACUUUGCAUCCGCCUCUCUGUUUGGGAGGGGGCGGCCAAGCCGUGUUUUUCACCUGGCAUGGCAUGAUCCGUCAGUUGCUAUGUCACCUAAAGGAGGAAUGUUUAGUUGUGUCUGCGUGUGGUUCGAACUUGCAUCUGUGGCACAUCCCAAUUUCACUUCUGGUCUCAAAUCAGGUAGGCUCACCCGCUGAACUU
rnacentral:misc_RNA from 1 species